rnacentral:rRNA from 1 species
AUUGAACGCUGGCGGCAGGCCUAACACAUGCAAGUCGAGCGAGCGGCGGACGGGUGAGUAAUGUCUGGGAAACCGCUCGCUGGAGGGGGAUAACUACUGGAAACGGUAGCUAAUACCGCAUACGAUCAGAUGUGCCAAGAUGGGAUUAGCUAGUAGGUGGGGUAACGGCUCACCUAGGCGACGAUCCCUAGCGGGUCUGUGAGGAUGACCGGCCACCCGGGAACUGAGACACGUACCAGACUCCUACGGGAGGCAGCAGUGGCGAAUGUUGCGCAAGGGGCGCAAGCCUGAUGCAGCCAUGCCGCGUGUGUGAAGAAGGCCUUCGGGUUGUAAAGCACUUUCAGCGGGGAGGCGUUACCCGCAGAAGAAGCACCGGCUAACUCCGUGCCAGCAGCCGCGGUAAUAC